UACAGAGGGGGCAAGCGUUGUUCGGAUUUAUUGGGCGUAAAGAGCGUGUAGGCGGCCAGGUAGGUCUGCUGUGAAAACUCGAGGCUCAACCUCGAGAUGUCGGCGGAAACCAUCUGGCUAGAGUCCGGAAGAGGAAAGUGGAAUUCCCGGUGUAGCGGUGAAAUGCGCAGAUAUCGGGAAGAACACCCGUGGCGAAGGCGGCUU
rnacentral:rRNA from 1 species